UACGAAGUGGGCUAGCGUUGUUCGGAAUUACUGGGCGUAAAGCGCACGUAGGCGGAUUGGCAAGUUAGGGGUGAAAUCCCGGGGCUCAACCCCGGAACUGCCUUUAAAACUGCCGGUCUAGAGUUCGAGAGAGGUGAGUGGAAUUCCGAGUGUAGAGGUGAAAUUCGUAGAUAUUCGGAGGAACACCAGUGGCGAAGGCGGCUCACUGGCUCGAUACUGACGCUGAGGUGCGAAAGCGUGGGGAGCAAAC
rnacentral:rRNA from 1 species